GCUGGGCGUGGUAGCGCAUGCCUGUAAUCCCAGCUACUUGGGAGCCUGAGACAGGAGAAUUGCUUGAGUCGGGGAGGCAGAGGUUGCAGUGAGCUGAGGCCACUGCACUCCAUCCUGGGCGACAGAGCAAGACUCUGUCUCAA
rnacentral:SRP_RNA from 1 species